rnacentral:tRNA from 1 species
GAGGGUAUAGUUCAGUGGCAGAGUGCAUGCUUAGCAUGCACAAGGUCCUGGGUUCAACUCUCAGUACCUUCA